rnacentral:rRNA from 1 species
GACGAACGCUGGCGGCGUGCCUAAUACAUGCAAGUCGAACGCUUUUUCUUUCACCGGAGCUUGCUCCACCGAAAGAAAAAGAGUGGCGAACGGGUGAGUAACACGUGGGUAACCUGCCCAUCAGAAGGGGAUAACACUUGGAAACAGGUGCUAAUACCGUAUAACACUAUUUUCCGCAUGGAAGAAAGUUGAAAGGCGCUUUUGCGUCACUGAUGGAUGGACCCGCGGUGCAUUAGCUAGUUGGUGAGGUAACGGCUCACCAAGGCAACGAUGCAUAGCCGACCUGAGAGGGUGAUCGGCCACACUGGGACUGAGACACGGCCCAGACUCCUACGGGAGGCAGCAGUAGGGAAUCUUCGGCAAUGGACGAAAGUCUGACCGAGCAACGCCGCGUGAGUGAAGAAGGUUUUCGGAUCGCAAAACUCUGUUGUUAGAGAAGAAACAAGGAUGAGAAGUAGAACGUUCAUCCC